CUCUUCCCUUCUUAAAAUAUGGCAUACCAAUGCAAGAUAAGAAUAAGAUCCUGAGUAAGGGCAUUCAUUUAAAACCAAUGAUGCUGUUUUGCAACAACUUGAAAGGGCACUGAUGAUAUACUCAAAUAUUAGACAGGAUUCCCGAAACUCCAGAAACACAUCUAUAAAUCUGUCCAAACUAGAAUAGUCAUGUGCUGGCUGCAAUCUGAAGACCUUCAUCAUGAAUGAAAGAAGUGGACCCCAAGCUACAUACUCUGCGUUCCUUGCAUCUGUCUCAAGUAUACAGAACAAUUCCUCACAUAUACUGUGACAAACAGGGUAAAAUAGUUCCUCAAGUGACACAAACCUCUUUAAUCUUCUUAAUUUCCCAACUGAAGAACUAUCGGUGCGCUCAAUACACUGCAGAUUAAACAACUUGGAUAAGCAUCGAAGCAACUGAGUAGCCAACAGGUUUACUGAGGGAGGUUCUUGAAGUGGAAGGAAGCCCUGAAUGGGGUAUUUGAAGGGUCGAGCCCCAAAAUUUAAUUCACAGCGUUCACCUUGAGAAAUAGAGACUGCAGGGUAAUAUCCAAAUCCAGGUCCCUUCUUGUGAAUACCA
rnacentral:misc_RNA from 1 species